GGGAAACGGGCCCUGGUAAUCUCCGCUCAGUGAGUGGCGCUGCGAAGCUGCUUCUGCCCGGGAAGGAGGAGAGGGGCCUGGAACCGCCGAGGGAACCACCAGUUCCGACGCCCUGGGGAACUUAAAAGAGGAACCAGGUGUACAGGCAGAACAUGAAAGUGGAAAGGAGCGUGACCACUGAAGCACAGCACCACAGGGAGGGGUUUAGUCCUCCGGAUGACUGCGAGCAGGGCUGGAUAAUGUCAGACCUCCCACUAGAGCUGGUGGAGCAGAGUGUUCUCUAACUUCCCCCAAGGAAAGGGAAACUCCCUUUCCCGGUCCGCUAAGUAACGGUUGCCUUCCCAAGCACUGACGCUACCACAAGACCAAGGUCUGCUAAGUAACGGGUGCCUUCCCAGGCACUGGUUCUACCGCUAGACCAAGGUGUCCUCAAGCGGCCUUUAUCAGGAUGUGACAGAGGACUUUCACUCUUAUCUUCUGCUCACUUCUCACAAUGUCCCUUCAGCUCCUGACUCUGUAUUGGCUGGUCUUUCCUCGGUUAUAAUAAUAAUACAGAGAUUAAUACUAAAAACUAAUGAUUGAUAAUAUCCAUAUAUAAUCAUCUCUAUAUCCUAUUUCUUUUUCUUUUUUUUUUUUUUUUUUGACAUGGAGUUUCACUCUGUCUCCCAGGCUGGAGUGCAGUGGCGCGAUCUCAGCUCACUGCAAGCUCCACCUCCUGGAUUCAUACCAUUCUCUCGCCUCAGCCUCCUGAGUAGCUGGGACUACAGGCGCCUGCCACCAUGCCUAGCUAAUUUUUUGUUUUUGUAUUUUUAGUAGAGACAGGGUUUCACCCUGUUAGCCAGGAUGGUCUCAAUCUCCUGACCUCGUGAUCCGCCCACCUUGGCCUCCCAAAGUGCUGGGAGCCACCGCAUCCAGCUCUAUAUCCUACUUCUAAUAUAACUUUUCUUAUUCUAACUAUUUUCUUUACUAUAUUGGAAGAGGUUGUGCCCUCAGUCUCUUGCCUCAGCACCUGGGUAGGUUUCCGCCUACAUGUAACCAGUGACUUCAAAUAUUCUGUUUUAUCUAAGAAGUACAACGAAGGUCAUGAGAAGCCUGAGUAGGCCUGAACUACAGCUGCCUGGGCACCAUAGUGAAGGUUAUAGGAUAAGCCCAUGCCCAGACAAACCUAGAUAACGGACAUCUGGGUUACUUGGCAACAGUCAUGUGCAAUCCUGUCUUUGUCCUGCCUCUGUAUCGCUGCUUUUCACACCACUGUAAGCUUGCUUCAACCUAGCCCACCACCUUCUGUGAAGUAUGUAUAAAAGUCAGAUGCUGUCUUUGUUCCGGGCCCAGUCUUUUGGACGUUGAGUCAGCUGGGCCUGAGUGCACUCAAUAAAGAUUCUAGUUUCAACCUGA